GUUCUCGUCCGAUCACCGAAGCUAAGCAGCAUCGGGCUUCCUCAGUACUUGGGAGGGAGACCAGCUGGGAACACGGAGUGCUGAUGGCA
rnacentral:rRNA from 1 species